UACCAGACUCCUACGGGAGGCAGCAGUGGGGAAUAUUGCACAAUGGGGGAAACCCUGAUGCAGCAACGCCGCGUGAGUGAGGAAGUAUUUCGGUAUGUAAAGCUCUCUCAGCAGGGAAGAGAAUGACGGUACCUGACUAAGAAGCCCCGGCUAACUACGUGCCAGCAGCCGCGGUAAUACGUAGGUGGCAAGCGUUAUCCGGAUUUACUGGGUGUAAAGGGCGUGUAGGCGGGAAAGCAAGUCAGAUGUGAAAACCAGGGGCUCAACCUGUGGCCUGCAUUUGAAACUGUUUUUCUUGAGUACUGGAGAGGCAGGCGGAAUUCCUAGUGUAGCGGUGAAAUGCGUAGAUAUUAGGAGGAACACCAGUGGCGAAGGCGACUUUCUGGACGAUAACUGACGUUGAGGCACGAAAGUGUGGGGAGCAAACAGGAUUAGAUACCCCGGUA
rnacentral:rRNA from 1 species